CAGAAAGGUUCCUAAGAAUUUGCUCGAGUCAUACGUUGUUGCCUAGACUUAUCCUCUCAUCAACCACUGCAUUGCUCUCACAAUCUCCUCCACCCAAUUCAUAAUCCAAUUACCUUUUGUUUUCAUUCUUGAUCCCAAAAAGAGCACACCCUUUUCUCCUCUCUCACUCACUUGAACAAAAAAACCACUAAAGCACUGGCCUUUCUUUUCCCUCUCCCAUUUCUUGUUCUUCUUUUUCUUCAUCAAUCAUCACAACCAUGGCCGCUGCAGUAACUGCUGCAGUCUCCUUCCCAUCAUCUAAGUCCACUUCUCUUCCCACAAGAAUCUCCGUCAUCUCACCCGAGAGAAUCACCUUCAAGAAGUUCAAUACUGUUCACUACAGAUACAGAGAUGGCUCUGCUGGUGGGAGAGUGGGUUCGAUUGUUAGAGCCCAGGUCACUACUGAGGCUCCUGCUAAGGUUGAGAAGGAGUCCAAGAAGAUGGAGGAAGGUGUGAUAGUUAACAAGUUCAAGCCCAAGAAUCCUUACAUUGGUAGAUGCCUUUUGAAUACCAAGAUCACAGGUGAUGAUGCUCCUGGAGAAACUUGGCACAUGGUCUUCAGCACUGAAGGGGAGGUUCCUUACAGAGAAGGGCAAUCUAUUGGAGUCAUUCCAGAUGGUAUUGACAAGAAUGGCAAGCCUCACAAGCUGAGAUUGUACUCUAUUGCCAGCAGUGCCAUUGGUGAUUUCGGCGACUCCAAAACUGUUUCCCUCUGCGUGAAACGCCUUGUAUACACCAAUGACAAAGGAGAAGUUGUCAAAGGAGUCUGCUCAAAUUUCUUAUGUGACUUGAAACCUGGUGCUGAUGUGACGAUUACAGGACCAGUUGGCAAGGAAAUGCUUAUGCCAAAAGAUCCCAAUGCCACUGUCGUCAUGCUUGCUACUGGAACUGGUAUCGCUCCUUUCCGCUCAUUCUUGUGGAAAAUGUUCUUCGAGAAGCACGAAGAUUACAAGUUCAAUGGUUUGGCCUGGCUCUUCUUGGGAGUUCCCACAAGUAGUUCAUUGCUCUACAAGGAGGAGUUUGAGAAAAUGAAGGAGAAGGCUCCUGACAACUUCAGGCUUGAUUUUGCUGUAAGCAGAGAGCAAACAAACGAAAAGGGAGAGAAGAUGUACAUUCAAACCCGAAUGGCUCAAUAUGCUGAAGAGCUAUGGGAGUUACUCAAGAAAGAUAACACCUUUGUCUAUAUGUGUGGGCUCAAAGGAAUGGAGCAAGGAAUUGAUGAGAUAAUGGAAUCAUUGGCCGAAAGGGAUGGCAUCACUUGGGUGGAUUACAAAAGGCAAUUGAAGAAGGCUGGGCAAUGGAACGUGGAAGUCUACUAAUGCUUUGAUUACAUUGUACAAAAAUAUCACCCUCUUCCACUCCCAUUGUGUAGAUAGGAUAUGAAGGAGCUUUCUCCUCAACCAGUAGAACCCGCCUGGCUUUGAGCUCUUUCUCUCCCCGUAAGUGCUGAAACCGAAUACCAGAUGGGGGGACCAAGACCAACCCUACCAGAGAGAGAUUCCGCAUCAAGAUCUGAUUUUGUUUAGGAGGAAUGCUCUGCAUCAAGAAGUAGACCUUGGCAUUCAUCUCAUUCUCUUAGUCGAUGGAACCCUGUAGCUUCAAAAUUUCAAAUGCUAUGUAUUUAUGGUCAUGAAACUUAUGCUUGAAUUCAGAAAACGCAACAAAAACACACAAUUACUCGAUCA